AAGAAAAAAAAAGAAGAGAAAGAGGAACAACAAGGAAACACAGCAAGAUGGUGUGUGAAGAUUACUCUGCAGCUGUGGGACUUCUUUUUCCUUUUUUCUGUAAAAUUUUCUGGUCCUCUUUUUUU
rnacentral:ribozyme from 1 species